ACGGUUCAGUUCCCUUCUUGAGCUGUUUCUCACUCUACAGCCCACUGAGUUCAAACAAUGGCCUUGUCCCUGUGGCCCUCCUCUGACAGCCCUCUGACUACUGCAUUCCAUAGCCGGCUGGCCUGCGUCCAAACCCCUGGAGGACACGUGAGAAGUCCCUGUGAUCAGCGGGCAGAACGCCUGGAGGCUGACAGUGGCUCGCCCUUUCUAGGGAACUGACCGGGCCCUUCAAGAGGCCUUUCAUUCCCAAGGGAUGCCAGAGGGAGAAAGGACCUUGGAGCGCAGAGAAUUCAGCUUCUGUAGUUUGCAGAUCAGGGCCUAAUUUAAUACCUGGGACAAUUGCUGGUGAUGCUGUGAUGACUGGAGGAAGAGCCUUGAACUUGAACAGCUAGAAGCCCCAUGGGGGAAAGAAAUGGGGAAAAGAGCCAGGAUGCAGCUCAUUCAUGGGUGGUCAAAGACACUAAGAAAACUGAGGCCCAGAGUGGGAAGCUGUUUUCAUGCUUCCAUCAAGCUUCGGCGAAAUUCCUGAGGACAUAGCAGUAGAGCUGGGACAAGAUCCAGGACUCCUGUCUGCGGGGCAGGCAGCUGGAGAGACUCAGUGGGGGAAGGAACGGAAGCACUAAGAACUCAGUGCAUCAGAUAGUGACCGAGCACAUAGGUGCUCUCGGAACCAAAGAGCUAGCACUACGUGGUAGGAUACUCUCGGACGAGGCCAGGCAGUGGCAGCAAGCACAGGAAGCUGUCAGCCCCGAGAUGAUGGAGAAUUUCUUGAGGACAGGAUCAAGGACUCAUGCCUGCGGUCCCCCAUAACUAGAUUGAUGCUGAAUGGUCCUCAGCACAUGGUUGUUGAUUGAUUACAACCUUACAUCAAUGGUAUGGAGCAAUUUACAUAAUGAAAUGCGCUGCACACUAGAAUCUGCUUCUCUCUGGCUCUGAUUUCUACUUGCAGGAAGACCAAUUUUCUCAAACUUACAUAUAGCCAGAUUCUUGACAACAAUCUGGCAUUCAGGAACAAAGGGCUGUUUUGGGUGAUUUUCCCCCCCUUCAGUUUCUCACAGUCUCUGAGCCAGAAUUCUAAAGAAAACAGCUAAAAUCUCCAAGGAAGCGUGAACUCCACUCCAGGAGCCUUGGAGGUGGGCAGCAUCAACAGAGCUUCCGUUUCACCAACGAAGAGCCAUCUGUUCUCCUGGAAUUGUUCUUAGACUGUUUGCUAUUGCAUGCUUUAAAUUCCACUUCUUCUGUCUUUUCUAGUAGUAAACCAGGAACCCUAUUUAUAUCUGGCUCCCUGUGCUGGGUUAAAGCAUGGCUUUUCCAGUGGAAGAGGGGAGCUUGAUUCUAUUCACACUAUAACAAAUGUCAGCAAAUUCCAGUCCCGUCCUUGAGCACUGCUCAGAUGACCAGAUAUACUGAGGCAGGGCCAGGGCAGCCCUGCUACCCCAGGGCUUGCUUUGCUUCUGCUCUUGGAAUAGAACACUGGGAGGGUUCAAAAUGGGAGCAUGACAGUGAAUUGGAAUAGUAGUGUGUGUAAGUCUUCAGUUGUUUUCUUGGUUGUGAUCUGAGUUUUUAAGAAUGGAUUCCUAGAAAGGAUUUCUACAUUCAAGAUAACAGCCUGCCUCACUUCAUGGUUUUCACAUUUUAAACUAGGUUAUUGUUUAUCCUUUAUCUGUGGCACUUAGGCAAAAUUAUCAUUUUUAUGUAGACCUUAUGUGUUAGUAUUUGUUUUGGCUGGGUGUGCCAUUGAACUGUCUAUUUUUGAACCACAUUUGAUGCUAAUGAGUUACGUGAUCAUUUUCACACAUUAUUUGUGGGACUAUAAUCGGUAUAACUUCUCAGGGAAAGCAAUUUUUCCAAUAGAUUUCAAACCUGAGGAAACAUGGCCUGGUAAUUCCCUGUGUAGGAAUCUAUGCUAAAGAAAUAAUAAGAAAUGCUAAAUACUUAGGUGCUAAUUUGUUCAUUACAGCAUUAUUUAUAAUGAAGAGUUGCAUAUAACAUCUGGAAAUUAGGAUUUUUAUGGGUUGCUAUGUACAAUAAAAAUUUUCUUUACAAGUAAAUUUUCAAGACAUUGAUAAAGGUGAUGAUGCAAUCAGUGGCAGGCCAGUAAAGUUUAACCACCAGAAAAAUGAAACCCCCCUGCUUUGUAUGUCUGCCAAUGUCUGCGGUGUGAUUUCAGGCCAACAGGGUGAUGCCACUGAAUGCUGAGUUAGAAAAAGACGCGCCUUGGCGGUGUGAACAAGAACAAGGCAGCUCCAGCAUAUUACUAAAUCCGUUAUGUGACAAGGAUAGGGUGUCAGAGGACUUGUACAGUAGGAAGGCAACAAUGGGAAUGAUCAUUGAGAGAGGCUGGAAGAAAAUUACCAGUGGUUACCUCUUGGCACUGAAAUUUUUUUUUGUCUUUGUAUCCCUCCCCCCACCCUUUUUUUUUAAAGAAAAACUUGUGGUAAGAAUGCAACGUGAGUUCUCCUGUCUUAAUAGAUUUUUAUGCUGAAGGACACUGUGCUGCUGUCUGUAGACACAGGCCGUGCAGCAGACAUCUUGCAUAAAUGAAACUUCACACAUGUUGAACAGCAACGCCCUGCUUCCGCCUCUUCUCAGCCCUUCACAACCACCAUGCUAUUCUUUGUUUCUGUGAAUGUGAGUACUUUAAAUGCUUCCUAUAAGCAAGCCCAUGUAGUCUUUGUCCUUUUGCACCUGGUAUAUUUCACUUAACAUCAUGUCCUCCAAAUACCAUAUGUUCUCCCUGAUCGGUGACAACUGACUGAACACCAAAAAGGAAACCUCCUGAAGUGAAAUGGACACUAUGAGAAAUGGUGACUUGAUCAGCAUAGCCCUGACUGCUAAUGGACAACUUAAUACAUUAUCCCUCAUAGUAUUUUUUUUUGUCUGUUCUACUUAAUAUGACUGGUUUAAUUCUGUAAUUAUCACACAGUUAUUCUUAAGUGUUGAAAAUUAACUGAAAUGUGAUCCCUGUUAAACAUAAGAGUGGGAAUAAGAGAGGGAAGAGAUGAAUAAUUUGGGGCAUGCUCGGGCUGACUUGCCCCAAUUGGUAGAGUUGGAAACAUACCAGGGGAUUCCAAUUCAAUCCCAUCAAGGUGGCAUGUGCCAAUGCCAUCUCACUACUCCAAGUGAUCAAUUUCAGUUCACAAUUGAUCAUAAUGAAAGGACUAAGAGUCAAAGGGAGCACAUAAACAAGUCUAGUAUCUGCUAACACCAACCGAUAGAAUAAAUAAAGGGGAGAGUGAUCCAACAUGGGAAGUGAGAUACUCAGCAGACUCAUAGAAUGGCGGAUGUCCUAAAUAGCACUCUGGCCUCAGAAUCAGCCCUAAAGGCACUCAGAUCUGGCUGAAAAGCCCAUGAGAGUAUUUCAGGCAUGGAAAGCCAAGACACUCUGGCAAAAAGAUCUCUGUGAGUGAGAUCCCAGUGGAAAGAACAGGUCUUCAAAGAGGGAGGUGCCUUUCUCUGAAGGGAGGAGAGAACCUCCACUUUGACUAUGACCGUGUCUAAACAAGAUAAGAGUCGGAGAACUCAAGGGGCUUCCAUAGCCUUGGAAACUCAUAACUGGUGCAUAGGGAGAUUACUGAUGCCAUAAACAGGAGUGUCAAUUGGUAAAGUCAACAACAGGAGUCACUGUGCACUUACUCCUCAUGUAGGAUCUCUGUCCUUAACGUGCUGUACACUGAGGCUUAAUGCUAUUAACGAGUACUCAAACAGUAUAUUUCACUUUGUGUUUCUAUGGGGGUGCAAACGACUGAAAUCUUUACUUAAUGUACACUAAACUGAUCUUCUGUAAAAAAAAAAAAAAAAAGAAAGAAAGAAAGAAAUUAUCAAUUCCCAACUUGACUCUCACUGGGAUUAAACAUGACAAUAGGUCUGAUCUGAUUUCAUCAUCAUUUAAAAAAAAUCAUCUAUUAUUUUUCACUUUAUGUUUCUGUGUGGGAGCAAACUGUUGAAAUACUUACUUAAGGUAUACUAAGCUGAUCUUCUGUAUAUUAAGAUAAUCGAAAAUGAAUCUUGAUGUGAA